ACGGUUUGAAGGAAGAUAUUACCAGCAUUGUUUACAAGUUGAGAAAUUAAGAGUUGAAAUACUAAAUAAUUGAUGGUGGGUAAUAUCCAAAAACAAUCAGCCACAUGGUAAAUAUAUUCAUAUCAUGUUCUCUCUCAUUUAAUCCCCCCCGCCCCGAAUUAUACAGCAUGUCUGGUGGGUGAGUCACCAAUUUGAUGGUUCUUUUGUCUACAACUAGUAUAAACUGUUUUCUCCCAGGUUAUAUAUAUACCUAGAUAGGGAUGGGCAGGAGUCAGGGCCACCAAGUAAGAACUAAAAGGUUGCAGGAAGCACUAUGGGUUUUGACGUUUGAGGUAACACAUUUUUUGCCUCGGAGUACCAAGUCAAGGCUGCUGGAUUUGAAUGGAGCCUAGAACAUGAAAGAACGUGAGCAGAUCACAUAGGGUGCAGUGUGACUGUGUGUUGUCAAAGCUGGCAGACUCUAUGAUGAUGGAAGACUCAGUGGUGGAAUAAAAAAAAUCACCGGAUGAAAGUUGAGUAAGUCCUAUUGGAAGAAUAACAUUUGCUGACUAAGCCAAGUGCCUUUGAAGCUUUCUGUUAUGCGGGUAAGUUCUACCCUACGUGAUGAAUGAAAAUGACAUGACCUGCUCCUGUUUGUCUCAGAAAGGAAUGUGUUUAUUCUCACUAUUCUCCUCCGCAGCGACUAUUAGUCUUCAAAUCCCAGACAACUGUCUUAGUCACUGUAAGUUCUUGACUUUCCUUUUCUGACCAUAUCAAGGAGGAUGUACACUGUCAAAUCAAACUAGAGUUUCACUUCCAACACUCUUUUUGUUUUUGUUUUUGUUUUUGGUUUUUUGAGACAGGGUUUCUCUGUAUAGCCCUGGCUGUCCUGGAACUGACUCUGUAGACCAGGCUGGCCUCAUACUCAGAAAUCCACCUGCCUCUGCCUCCCAAGCGCUAGGAUUAAAGGCGUGCGCCACCACUGCCCGGCACUUCCAACACUCUUAUCUAGUCCUACGUAUUCACACAAACAAGAGCGACCUGACAACCUCAUUGAACCUACUUAGGACCCGAAAGCUGAUCCUCUGUCUGUAAGAACAGCUAGAGUGGCCCACGCUCCUUCUCUGAACGCCAUCAUAUCUUAGUUCUGCACAUGAUUUUUGGGUCUCUGGCCAUAAAUACAAUUCAAACAUGUCGCAGCUGUGGAGUUGCUCUGUACCUGUUCUACCGCUGUGAAAUUCACAGGUCUUCGCUUAAUUAAAUUCUAUUCGUUGUAUUUUGUCUGCAAUUGUCCUUUUAAUAAAGGAGAGUAGUGGUCGAUUUAUAUUUCUCAUGCAUUGUCUCUCUAGUAAUGUCUGGAUCAUGAGAGGCAGAGUCUAUUACCUUCUGUCAUCGAGGUCACAUUCUGCUGGGUGGAAGGAUUUUGUAUGGUAAUGUUGUCCUCAUUUGGGAACUUAGUAAGAUUCUGGGUAAUGGAGUUCAUUUGCAUAUUUUCUUUGAUUGGUCUGAAAGACUGGUUUAUAUUUAGUUAAGAUAUUCAUCCUGAUGAUCUGUGGAUCAAUUUAAGUAAACAUUUCUACCCAGCUACAUAGAGCUUUCCUGCUGUAGUGUAAGGCUGACACAUUACUGAUGAGGAGCAGGAGUCCUCGUGGGACAAUUUAGACGAUGGCCCACCAGAGAGGUAAGAAUGAGGAAACUUCUGAAGACGGGGUGGCUAUCUCUCUCGAGCAUCAACCAGCAAGCAUCCAGCACGGGUUCCACUUACAACUCUGUGCACCAUACUUAUGUGAGCUCCAUUCAAGAACAUUUUUGUACUUUUGCUCUUAGAACUUCUCAACAGUCCUCAUGAGAAUCGCCUGGAAGUUAAAUGCGUUGGAAUCAAAUCGUUCAUCAGCUAAUUCACAGGCAGCAGAAAAUUCAAAUAACUGUUAUAAUCAUCAGCAAAUUAUUAUUCAGAAAAGGAGCAUAUUUGAAUGAUAAAUGCAAGCAAAUUAGCAUACUUUGACACUAUUUUUGUGGUAUUCCUGAGAAAAGGGAUCUGUUUUAUAACUGGAAAACAUAUCAAGUAAGUAUCCCUGAUUAAAAUUACUCAAUAACAACGUGAUCUUGUUUUUUUUGUUUUUGUUUUUGUUUUUUUGUAAGAAGACAUACUUAAUGGCAAUAUUUCAUGAAUCAGGGGUCUCUUUAUGUCAUCAAGACUUGUAUGAGUAUAUAUAAAUAUAUGUAUAAAUUCAGCAUGCUGAGAGCAUUUUUAUUGUUUGUUCACAGAUGGUUUCAGGGCUGAAUAUUGGAUAACCAGUAAGACUCACACGUAGGAGAAGCUCAUUGUCCCCUUUUCUCAGCAGGCAGUAGGUGUCUGUAGCUCUUUGUCUAGAGUCACAUCCUAUGAUAUUUUUCCCCCUCCAUGUUAACAGGCCCAUUAAUAUGGCUAUUGUUCCAGGCUUCUUUAGGCAGUCAGUCAGUUCUAGGACAGCCUGGUAUUCUGCCUCUUACAACCCCUCUUCUUCAAUGAACCCUGAGCAGGAGAACUUGUGAGUAAGAUGUAUCCAUCAAGACUGGUCUCCCCAUGAUUCAUUAGUCUCUGGGUUGUAUUUUAAAAUUAUUUUGACCCUUAAUAUAUGACUUAUUCUCUAUGAUUAUAUAGCAUAAUGGUAGACAGUACUGCCAGGAUGUGAGUUUCCUAAGGUUUAAUUCCAGCUUCUCCAGCACAUUACCUUAGGCCUCUUAGGAAGUAGUUAUAUUUUCUGCAUUUAUAAACCAGUCAUAACAACAGUAAGAGGAGCAUAUGCUGUAGUGAUUUUGUAAACAAUUUUAUUAAUAGUAUAAUUAGAAGUAACCAUUAUUGUUUUAUUAUCCAGCCAGGAACCAAAUCAAAAAGAGCUUCUAUCCAUUUAUCUAAACAUCUUCCUCUAUAUUUUUCUUAAUAUUUUUAAUCAGUAGCUGCUACUGAGUAGAUGGCUCAGUAUGGAGAGGUGCUUGCUGUAAAACCUGAUGACCUGAGUCCACCAUCAGGAUCCUACAGGAGUGGAGAUGAGAACCAACUCUUACAAGUUGUCCUUUAGCCUCUCUGUCGGUCCUGCAGCAUAUGCACAUUCCCCAUAAAUACAUACAUACAUACAUACAUACAUACAUACAUACACACACACAUACAUACAUAAAUACAUAAAUAAAACAAAUAGCUAACUUCCAAUCAUAAUACUUCCCAGAAACAAGUUUGUUUUGGUUUUCACAUAUCUUUCUAAAACUUACCAUUCUUUGGGUUUGUUUGUUUGUUUUUGUUUUGUUUUGCUUGUUUACAUUUUAUUUUGAAAGACCAACUGCUGCCUGCUUCAGGUCACCAAUGCUUCUUAACUGCUAUACAAAUGUUCAGAGUUUAAACGUUGCUGAUGGUGAAGGUAAAAAUCAUACUAUAAACUAGAAAGGUAGCCAUCCCUGUCUGAGGCAGUUAAACCACAGAGUUUGGCUCUGGUACAUCUAGGGAAAGCAUCUUAGAGGAGAGAUCAUGUCACAAGAAAGUUCCGAGGCAAGAAAAGGCAACAAAGGCAUAGACUCACAAGUCCAGCCUUUCCUCCACUCCUAUACUCUUCCUGCUGGGUCUUUCUUGAUUGAAGAUGUAAGACUCUCUAACCUUUCACUCCAAGUCCCCUGGAUUCAUAGGAAUAAACAAGAGUCUUCCAAGCACACUUCAAGAAGACACCAUGAAGAUGAUGUACUGUACUCUGGGUCUCCGGAGACAAGAACCUGUGACACCCAUCAGGCCUAAGCAACCCGAACCUCUGAAUAACCCACAGGAGACUGGACCGAGAUGAAGGAUAGACUCUAAAAGGACAGUCAUGUAAAUGGGAAGGACUUUGAUCUCAGCUGCUAUCAGUGAUGUGAACCUACCUAUGGCCCUCAAGGAUUAAGAAAGAAAAGAGGGCAGAAUUUGCUAGAAGGGAAACUGACAACGAAGCACCCAAUGUUCUUUGAGAAGAGGAGCAUUUUAAAAAGCUGCAGCUCUGUGGAUAUGGAUGAAAGGCCAAGACUCAAUUCACUUCAGCAGAACCAUGAACAGAAUAUUAUAUUGCACCAAACAUUGGAAUUCCUUCAUGUAAUAUCUGAUCAUUGAAGAAGAAGAGACAACCACAGCAUGCUUAGAAGGCCGUCCAGCGGUGGAACUUUCAGGUCACAGCCUGCCCAAUGCCUGCUUUACUAAGUUAGGCUGUAUUCUUUUUACUUUCAAUUAAAAUACUGAAAUAGAAACUCCUUAAGUAACUUUUUCUCUUUUAAAUAAAUUAGAUAUAAUAUGAGCCAUUAGUGAGCUGUAUCACCUAAAAAAAAAGAAAAUAAUUUUUGUAUGUGAACAAAAUUUUGAUUUAAAAACAUGUUCUCGAUCCCUUUGAAUCACCUCUACUCUUCUUUUUUCUUUGCUCGUUUGUUGUGGGGGUGUUUGUUUUUUCCUGUGUACUGAAAUAGUAACUGUAUUAUAAGAUGGACUCCACUCAGAAAGAUCACUGUGGCAUAAUGUCUCUACACAUUUUGCUUCCUCGUUUUUAACUUAAAUGUUAAAUGUGCUUCACCCAUGAGCUAGUCAUCAACAUUUUUAGCCUACCUGGUUGGAAAUAGCUUGUGCGGCCU